UACGUAGGGGGCAAGCGUUAUCCGGAAUUACUGGGUGUAAAGGGUGCGUAGGCGGUUUGAUAAGCCAGAUGUGAAAGCCCGGGGCUCAACCUCGGGACUGCAUUUGGAACUGUCAGACUAGAAUACAGGAGAGGUAAGUGGAAUUCCUAGUGUAGCGGUGAAAUGCGUAGAUAUUAGGAGGAACACCAGUGGCGAAGGCGACUUACUGGACUGUUAUUGACGCUGAGGCACGAAAGCGUGGGGAGCGAACAGG
rnacentral:rRNA from 1 species